rnacentral:rRNA from 1 species
GCUUGUCUCAAAGAUUAAGCCAUGCAUGUCUAAGUAUAAGCAUUAUACAGUGAAACUGCGAAUGGCUCAUUAUAUCAGUUAUAGUUUAUUUGAUAGUCCCUACUACUUGGAUAACCGUAGUAAUUCUAGAGCUAAUACAUGCGUAAAGCGCCGACUCACGGAGGCGCGUAUUUAUUAGAUACAAUCAGCCCUUCGGGUUUUUGAUGAAUCAUAAUAACUUUCGGAUCGAUCUUCGGAUCGAUGCAUCAUUCAAGUUUCUGCCCUAUCAGCUUUGGAUGGUAGGGUAUUGGCCUACCAUGGCUUUAACGGGUAACGGAGAAUUAGGGUUCGAUUCCGGAGAGGGAGCCUGAGAAACGGCUACCACAUCCAAGGAAGGCAGCAGG